rnacentral:rRNA from 1 species
AAGAUUAAGCCAUGCAUGUCUAAGUAUAAGCAAUUAUACGGCGAAACUGCGAAUGGCUCAUUAAAUCAGUUAUCGUUUAUUUGAUAGUACCUUACUACAUGGAUAACCGUGGUAAUUCUAGAGCUAAUACAUGCUGAAAACCCCGACUUCGGAAGGGGUGUAUUUAUUAGAUUAAAAGCCAAUGCCCUCCGGGGCUCACUGGUGAUUCAUGAUAACUUCUCGAAUCGCACGGCCUUGCGCCGGCGAUGGUUCAUUCAAAUUUCUGCCCUAUCAACUUUCGACGGCUGGGUCUUGGCCAGCCGUGGUGACAACGGGUAACGGAGGGUUAGGGCUCGACCCCGGAGAAAACGCCUGAGAAACGGCGUUUACAUCCAAGGAAGGCAGCAGGCGCGCAAAUUACCCAAUGCCGACACGGCGAGGUAGUGACGAGAAAUACUGAUACAGGGCUCUUUUGGGUCUUGUAAUUGGAAUGAGUACAAUUUAAAUCUCUUAACGAGGAACAAUUGGAGGGCAAGUCUGGUGCCAGCAGCCGCGGUAAUUCCAGCUCCAAUAGCGUAUAUUAAAGUUGUUGCAGUUAAAAAGCUCGUAGUUGAACCUUGGGCCUGGCUGGCCGGUCCGCCUCACCGCGUGCACUGGUCCGGCCGGGCCUUUCCCUCUGGGGAGCCCCAUGCCCUUUACUGGGCGUGGCGGGGAACCAGGACUUUUACUUUGAAAAAAUUAGAGUGUUCAAAGCAGGCCUAUGCUCGAAUACAUUAGCAUGGAAUAAUAGAAUAGGACGUGUGGUUCUAUUUUGUUGGUUUCUAGGACCGCCGUAAUGAUUAAUAGGGACAGUCGGGGGCGUCAGUAUUCAAUUGUCAGAGGUGAAAUUCUUGGAUUUAUUGAAGACUAACUACUGCGAAAGCAUUCGUCAAGGAUGUUUUCAUUAAUCAGGAACGAAAGUUAGGGGAUCGAAAACGAUCAGAUACCGUUGUAGUCUUAACCAUAAACUAUGCCGACCAGGGAUCGGGCGGUGUUAUUAUUU